rnacentral:rRNA from 1 species
GGUGCUUGCACCGGGUGGAUGAGUGGCGAACGGGUGAGUAACACGUGAGUAACCUGCCCCUGACUUCGGGAUAAGCCCGGGAAACUGGGUCUAAUACCGGAUACGACUGCCGGACGCAUGUCUGGUGGUGGAAAGUUUUUUCGGUUGGGGAUGGGCUCGCGGCCUAUCAGUUUGUUGGUGAGGUAAUGGCUCACCAAGACGACGACGGGUAGCCGGCCUGAGAGGGCGACCGGCCACACUGGGACUGAGACACGGCCCAGACUCCUACGGGAGGCAGCAGUGGGGAAUAUUGCACAAUGGGGGAAACCCUGAUGCAGCGACGCAGCGUGCGGGAUGACGGCCUUCGGGUUGUAAACCGCUUUCAGCAGGGAAGAAGCGCAAGUGACGGUACCUGCAGAAGAAGUACCGGCUAACUACGUGCCAGCAGCCGCGGUAAUACGUAGGGUACGAGCGUUGUCCGGAAUUAUUGGGCGUAAAGAGCUCGUAGGUGGUUGGUCACGUCUGCUGUGGAAACGCAACGCUUAACGUUGCGCGUGCAGUGGGUACGGGCUGACUAGAGUGCAGUAGGGGAGUCUGGAAUUCCUGGUGUAGCGGUGAAAUGCGCAGAUAUCAGGAGGAACACCGGUGGCGAAGGCGGGACUCUGGGCUGUAACUGACACUGAGGAGCGAAAGCAUGGGGAGCGAACAGGAUUAGAUACCCUGGUAGUCCAUGCCGUAAACGUUGGGCACUAGGUGUGGGGGGCAUUCCACGUUCUCCGCGCCGUAGCUAACGCAUUAAGUGCCCCGCCUGGGGAGUACGGUCGCAAGGCUAAAACUCAAAGGAAUUGACGGGGGCCCGCACAAGCGGCGGAGCAUGCGGAUUAAUUCGAUGCAACGCGAAGAACCUUACCAAGGCUUGACAUACACCGGACCGUCCUGGAAACAGGUCCUCUUCUUUGAAGCUGGUGUACAGGUGGUGCAUGGUUGUCGUCAGCUCGUGUCGUGAGAUGUUGGGUUAAGUCCCGCAACGAGCGCAACCCUCGUUCUAUGUUGCCAGCAUGUGAUGGUGGGAACUCAUAGGAGACUGCCGGGGUCAACUCGGAGGAAGGUGGGGAUGACGUCAAAUCAUCAUGCCCUUUAUGUCUUGGGCUUCACGCAUGCUACAAUGGCUGGUACAGAGAGAGGCGAACCCGUGAGGGCAAGCGAAUCCCUUAAAGCCAGUCUCAGUUCGGAUCGUAGUCUGCAAUUCGACUACGUGAAGUCGGAGUCGCUAGUAAUCGCAGAUCAGCAACGCUGCGGUGAAUACGUUNCCCGGGCCUUGUACACACCGCCCGUCAAGUCACGAAAGUCGGUAACACCCGAAGCCGGUGGCCUAACCGUAAGGAGG